AUGACUGAGAGGCAGAAGUAGCAUGCUUUGAAUCCAACUGUGAGGUGAGAUUAAUUUUUCCACCUUUUCUCUUGGCCAACCCAAGUCUACCAUUACAAUUCAAAAUAGAUUCCGAAUCCAAGUCUUGACAGGAAGAAUGAGAACCAUCAUUUAAAUUAUCAAAGCCAAGGGAAUCAGAGUUAUUUUCUGAUCCACGCACAGACUCUUUAAUGGUAAGACCGCCAACUUGUUGAUUAAAUUUACCUAAAAAUGAAGUAUUUACAUGGCUGGUAUUGGUAGCAACUUCAACAGACGAAGACUUUGCAUGUACCAUUUCAUAAGGUUCCGCUCUAUUUUUGGAGAUACUUGAAGUUACAUCAC
rnacentral:lncRNA from 1 species